AAAAGUAAGCAAGGGCGCAUGGCGGAUGCCUUGGCUCUCGGAGGCGAUGAAGGACGUGAUAAGCUGCGAUAAGCUUCGGGUAGGUGCAAAUAACCUUUGAUCCGGAGAUUUCCGAAUGGGACAACCCGAUUGGUUGAAGACCAAUCAUCCAACUAAGUUGGAGGCUAACGCAGGGAACUGAAACAUCUUAGUACCUGCAGGAAAAGAAAAUAAAUAAUGAUUCCCCUAGUAGUGGCGAGCGAACGGGGAGCAGCCCAAACCACCUAUGUUACGGCAUAUGUGGGGUUGUAGGACCACGUUGUGGCAAGAAAACUGGUGAGUAGAAUGUUCUGGAAAGUUCAACCAUAGAGCAUGAUAGUUGCGUAUACGAAGCCAGUCGAAGCCUAGUGGUAUCCUGAGUAGCGCGGAGCACGAGGAAUUCUGCGUGAAUCAGCCGGGACCAUCCGGUAAGGCUAAAUACUCCCGAGAGACCGAUAGUGAACCAGUACCGUGAGGGAAAGGUGAAAAGCACUUCGAACAGAAGAGUGAAAUAGUUCCUGAACCCAUACGCCUACAAGCUGUCGGAGCCGCUUCGUGCGGUGACGGCGUGCCUUUUGCAUAAUGAGCCUACGAGUUACUCAUCACCAGCGAGGUUAAGUACUUCAGGUACGUAAGCCGAAGCGAAAGCGAGUCUGAAUAGGGCGUCAAGUUGGUGGUGGUAGACGCGAAACCUUAGUGAUCUACCCAUGGGCAGGGUGAAGGUUUGGUAACACAAACUGGAGGCCCGAACCGGUAAACGUUGAAAAGUUUUCGGAUGACCUGUGGGUAGGGGUGAAAGGCCAAUCAAACUGGGAAAUAGCUCGUACUCUCCGAAAUGCAUUUAGGUGCAGCCUCUGUUGUUUUGUUCUAGAGGUAGAGCUACUGAUUGGAUGCGAGGGCUUCACCGCCUAUCAAAUCCGGCCAAACUCCGAAUGCUAGAACAUGAAGACAGGGAGUGAGCCAGCGGGUGCUAAGGUCCGUUGACGAAAGAGGGAGAACUCAGACCAUCAGCUAAGGUCCCCAAUUGUAUGCUAAGUUGGAAUUAAAACGGGGUGGGACUGCUUAGACAGCUAGGAUGUUGGCUUGGAAGCAGCCAUUCAUUUAAAGAGUGCGUAACAGCUCACUAGUCGAGCGGUCCUGCAUGGAUAAUACGCGGGCAUAAGCAUAUAACCGAAGCUAUGGGAUUGUAGAUGAUACAAUCGGUAGGAGAGCAUUCCAUUCAGCAUAGAAGCAGUACCGUGAGGUAUUGUGGAGCGGAUGGAAAAGCAAAUGUAGGCAUAAGUAACGAUAAUGCGGGUGAGAACCCCGCACGCCGAAAGAUCAAGGAUUCCCCGGCAAUGUCAAUCAUCCGGGGGUAAGUCGGAUCCUAAGGGUAAGCCGAGUGGCGAUCCCGAUGGCAAACAGGUUAAUAUUCCUGUACUGAUCAUAACUGCGAUGCAGCGACGCAGAGGUGACACUGCUGCGUACUGACGGAAUAGUACGUUGAAACCCGUAUUCUUUGAUACCGGUAGUGAAGCACGCCGGUAGAGAUGAAAGGUGAUAGUACCGCAAUGCUUCGGUUGCGCGGAUAACGCAGGUAAGCUGACUGCCAAGAAAACCUGCUAAGCUUCAGGUAAUGAUCAUCCGUACUGUAAACGGACACACGUGAUCAGGUAGAAAAUACUAAGGCGCUCGAGAGAUUCAUGGUUAAGGAACUAGGCAAAAUGGUCCUGUAACUUCGGGAUAAAGGACGCUCUUGUGAAAGAGCCGCAGAUAAUAGGCCCAGGCGACUGUUUACCAAAAACACAUGGCUAUGCUAAUUCGCAAGAAGAUGUAUAUGGCCUGACACCUGCCCGGUGCCGGAAGGUUAAGAGGAGAGCUCAGAGGUAACUCGAAGGUUUGAAUUGAAGCCCCGGUAAACGGCGGCCGUAACUAUAACGGUCCUAAGGUAGCGAAAUUCCUUGUCGGGUAAGUUC
rnacentral:rRNA from 1 species